UUGAUUAUCGUUAUUGCAUUAAUGUUAAUGUGGUGAAGGUGAUGGUAGCAUAUCUCAAAGAAACAACAGACAAUGAAAUUUGGACCGUAUACACCAAGGAAAAGAUAAGGGUAUCAUGUUCCAUGGUUCUAAUUUGAUGGGACUCAGAAAAGAGAAUUGCAUUUGUCUUUGAAAAAAUGCUGUUUAUUACCAGCUGGAAUGCAUGCAACAAUCAUUAGGUUCACAUACUUGACAUAGAAACCAGUACAGAAAGGAAACACUAAACUGACUCAAAGAAUCCUAUGAGUAGAGACCAGCUCAACCACAGGAAAGAAACUAGGAAGGAGAAACAACAGAUGAGUGAUGAUGGAAGAAAUGAGGCAGCGGUGGUCUCCAGUGACCUUAAUUAGUACCACCAAGAACAGCCUUAAGCUUCUUCACCACAGCUGCGUCAAGGAAAGUGGUCUGCACCACCAGUUCAGUUGGCAAAUCGUUUGCAAACAGAGCGUAAUCAAGGAUCUGGAGACCAGGCUGUGGGCUGCUGAAGCUAACAAAGGCGGUGGAUGGUAUCCCAGCCCCAUUCACUUGAAAAUGCAGUAGUCCUUGAGGAAAAAUCAUAAUGUCACCCUUCUUAAGAGUUUUGAAGUAGACGGUAUUGGCUGAGGAAAUGAACCCAGCACAGAUUGCCCCCUGCGUAACAAGCAGGACUUCUGAACCUCCAGGGUGUGUGUGCAUUGGCACAACCCCUCCUACAGCCAGGUCCAGGCGUGCUAUGGACAAGCCAAGACCGUUCAAGCCAGGAAACUGAGGAGCAAAAGCCGGAGUCACAGCAGCUUUGAUAAGAUUUGAGGUGUUCCCUGCCAUGCCUAGGCCGGAGAAAACAAAAUCAUCAACAGUAACCUUUGCAGGCUUCUUGCAAGAGUAGCCUGCAGGCCCCUCUGGGGCUGCAAGGUCCCCGACGCAGAAGUCCUGCACUGCAGCAUGAGAUGAUAAGAUAAGGGAAAAGAUGCAGAGAAUUGGGAGAAACAUCUUCACCAAAUAUAAAGAAGAAUGUUUUGCCUUAGCCCUUCUUUGCCAUCCUGAUCAGGCUUGGCACCCUUAUAUAUAGAAUCAGGAAUGCGGAAUAUUUUUUUCAGCAUCUUCAAUUGAUUGCUAGAGAUAUACCGGCAAAAAAGUUCACAUGCAGUGUACCCUAAAAUGAAAGCUUGAAAAAUGACAGAUUCUGAGCUGUGAUGCAUGUGAUUCUGCAAUCUUUUCUUUCAGAAAAAACCAAGAAACCUCUUUUUUGGCUCAUGAGUGACGGCAAGGAGUGAAAACAUCUUUGGCCUUUCCAAUUUCCAUCACGUCAAGCCAGUGAGGCAGUAAGAAAACUUCAAUAUUUCAACACACAGUCAAUCCGUAAGCUUGAAAUUUUCAGCAAACCCCUCAUUUACGAUCUUUCACCACCACCCAAAUCACAUCUUCUGAUAUCUGAUCUGGUCUUAUCCCAACAAUACAAACAAGAUAGGGAGAUGUGAGAAGGUGGUCCAUUAGUAUAACAAAACAUUUUUCUACAGCUAGAAGGCACUCCUGCAAGUCGUCCCACGACUCCCACCCCUUCAAACGGUAGCCAUUGCCCAAUGUGUGGUUCCUAGACAUUGCCCAUCUUGAAGGGCUUUUGUUGAUUGCCAGAGGAUAAGGGCAUCUUGUGGAUACCCCACUGCAAGAUGCUCAUAGAAUUGUCCGAAUUGUUCAAUCAUCUCACUUGCUUCUGCAUUUCAAAUUUCAACUUAUCCUUCCCGAGUAUUAGCCUAGCUUAUUCAAAUUACUCUUUUAGGCUUUAGUACCGGGGAAUAGGAAUGGAAAAGAGAGGAAUCAAUCAUGAUACGAAUGCGAGUGAGAUUUGGGUUCCACGAUGAUGAAUUUUUUUAGCAAAAAAAUAGUUUUUACUUGUAAUGUCAUCUGUACUAAUUCACAAUUAGACUUUUCCACAUAAAUGUUUUUCUUCUUUUAGAUAUGUUUAUUAUUAUUAUUAUCUAAGAUUUUUUUUUUCAAAAACAAACACCUCAUAAGGAUUUUAUUUUAUUUAUGUUUCCCUUCUCUGCAUCAAUAGCUAUUCCAUGGGUAACUCAAACUCAUUUGUCUUUUAAAAAUAACAAUAUAUUACCUUUUAUUUGUAUUUUUAUUUCUUGAAUUGAACAUGAAGGUAAAAAUAAAGUAAAUGCCUCGAAUAAUCCAGAAUCCUUAAAAUUAACCUCAAUUUGCUCUAAUUAAAAAAUUCAUAAAGAAACCAUGGAAAAAACAUAAAUCUUAUUCAUAAUAAAACUCAAACUCAUCUAUAAUCUAUCAGACUCACUACUUCUAAUGAUCACGCUCUUCCAACCACCUCAUAUUUGCUAUGAGAUGUUUGUUUAUGAAGAACAAAAUAAUUCUUAACUUUUUCUACUAUGUAAUUAUUUGUUGGAGAAAAAAAAUCAUAAAUAAUAAUAAUAAUAAAAGAACAUAUCUAAAAAAAAGGAAAACAUUUAUAUGGACGAAUCUAAUUUUCAAUUAUUAGUGAUGACAUAAUCAGUGAAAAGGGUAUUUCAGGGAAUAAUUAUAUAAUUCAUUAAAAAAUACAUAUAUUUUAAAUUAUUUUUAAACAACGAUAAUACUAAUUUUAUAAAAUUAGAAUUUUUUUUAUAUGUAUUUUCUCAGGAGUGAGAUAAAAUAAAACCCAAACACAUUAAUUAAUGUGAAUGAAAAUUCCAGCGUUCCAAAAACGACUUUAGAGUAGAGCUCUCAUUAUCGGAACUCUGAGACCUCCAUCCAUCUAUUUAUCUAUGAUCACAAAUUUAUGAUCGUCUACCCACUUGUUUCCAUCUCUACAUGAGCUGGAAGGAAAGUAUUCAAAUCCCGACAACUUAAGCUUUUAGAAAAGAUGAUUGUUCAAUUGGCUCUACCUAUUAAGAAUAGGUGUUUGCGGUGUUAGGGUUUAUGGAGCAACUACACGCCUCAUGUAUCAAGACUUGAUGUUUGUGGUGUUAGGGUUUAAGGAGCAACUUUACACCCCAUGUAUCAAAAGUUGGCGUUUGUGGUGUUAGGGUUUACGUAUCUACCACACACUCUACAGUGAGUAGAGAAUUAACAGGAUUGUGAAUAUAACCUUUAGCAGCUGAGGCUAAAGCUCCUAGAAACCAUAGGUGAAAAAUAACAACACCUUUAGUUAGCUAUUUAUCAUGGGGCAAUGAGGAUGUUUGUGUAAUAAUACAAUGAUGCUAUGUUUGGUUAUCCAAAAAAUUUGGGGGAAAUAUAGUGAAAUUAAAAAAUAAAUUUAAAGUUAAUAAAUUAUCUUUACGUGUUUUUUCAAAAUCAUUUCAUUUAUUUUAAAUUUGCUUUAAAUAUUAAAUAAUUUGAAAAAGUUAUGUUUCUAAUUAAUAUUAAUUAUAUUUGAUUUUUAUUUGUAUUUUUUAUGAUAUAAUUAAAUAUGAGACAAAUAUAUUUUUUUUAUUUUUUUCUUUGCUUAGUAUUUUUCCAUAACUAAUAUAAUCUUAAGGAAUUAUUUAAUGAAAUAACUAAAUAUAAUGUUAAGAAAUUAUUUGGACGAAACGAUCCUAAAGUUGUAAAAGUAACUCCUUUUAUGUUUGGAAUUUGAAAAAUACAAACCCAUUUUUUACAUAUCUAUCUUUCAAUAUUUGGAUUAUUUUCACUAAAGAUUCAAAAAAUAAUCUUAUUUUUUUAAGAAAACCCAAGGAGUAUUAUGUUUAAAAUUGAUCAUGUUUUAGGUUGGAAUAUAUAAAGAGUUAGAUUUAUAACUUUGGGAUUAUUUCAUUCAUUUUAAUUAAAUAGCCUAUUUUAUUUUAUUAAAAGGGAUAAACUAAUUAUAUAUUUAAAAAAAAAGCCUUCAUCUUUUAAAAAUAUUGUUAGCCCAAGGUUCUCCUAAUCAGGUUUUGGUGAUAACAAACCAUGGUUAAGUGAUUAAUUGGUUUGAAUGGUAAAGAAUCUUAGGUAUAAAUUCGAAAAUUCAUCAAAGGACCAAAUGGAUACAAGAUCGAGACUUUCGUAAGACUUUUAAUCAUAGGAAAUAAAUGUAAGAUGAAUGUAUGGGUAUACUUAGGGUUUACAUAUCUUUUUAUGCAUCUUUGGAAAACUCGGUUUGUUCUUUAAAGUUACAAUUUCAUUAAAAUCUGAGUUUUAUCAAAUGUAUCUUAAUCAAAACGUUUCAAAAUUGACAUAUUAAUUUACCUAAAGACUUUGUCUAAGUGUUAGAAAAGAAAAGAAGUGAAAAAUAUAGGUUUUCGGGGCUAAAAGGUUGAAUCGGUCGAGACUCUAGCCAACCGACUCAACCGGUUAGAGAACCGAUCAACCGAUUGCCCUUGUCCAGUCGAGGUCCGAUUGAGAAAUGUUAAAAACACUCUCUCUCUUCUAGUAACCUUCCUUUCCCGAUUGAGGUUCCCUCCUUCCCAAUUGACCUUCGGUCAAUGUCCGAUUGAGGUCUGGUCGAAGCAAUGGUAAGCUGCUAAAACAUUAAAUGCUCCAACAGCUAUUGAACCGGUCGACCCCUAGCUCAACCGGUUGAGGCUACUUUUUGCUGUUCUUGGCUCCCAAGCUUAGAAACCUAUAAAUUGAGAGCUCCACUUCAUUUAUGACAUAUAGAACACUUGAAUACAAUUGUCUAUCUACUUGUUUUUGCCUUAAAAGCUCUCAUUUCCUUCUUAGUACAUUAAAUUCUCACUUGCAUAUCUUUUAGUGCACCCUUGUGAGUCAUCCUAACUUUGUUUUGUAUUUGAGCUAGGUUGAGGGAUUCAUUCUUGUAAAAACUGGGUGUUAAAACCGUCAAGAGGUUUGAAUCUUGAAAAGAUUGUGUAAGAGCCCAUUGGAGUCGGAAUCCAAGUGUAAGAAGAUUGGAAGCUUGGUUGAAGCUUCAAGUUAGUGGAACCCUCACUCGGUUAGGAGAUUGAGGAGAAUU
rnacentral:lncRNA from 1 species